UACGGAGGGUGCUAGCGUUGCUCGGAAUCACUGGGCGUAAAGCGUGCGUAGGCGGACUUAUAAGUCGGAUGUGAAAUCCUGGAGCUCAACUCCAGAACCGCACCCGAUACUGUAAGUCUUGAGUACUGGAGAGGAAAGCGGAAUUCUCGGAGUAGCGGUGAAAUGCGUAGAUAUCGAGAAGAACACCCGUGGCGAAAGCGGCUUUCUGGACAGAUACUGACGCUGAGGCACGAAAGCGUGGGGAGCAAACAGG
rnacentral:rRNA from 1 species